UUCCCUCCACACUGCUAUCCCGUCUUCUCUACUUAGGGUUUAGAUCAGUUUUCUCUCAUCCUCCGUAGAUACCAAAAGCUUGAACUCGAAGCGCGAGAUUCUGGGCUAGGGUGUGAAUAAUUUGCGCAAUUUGUCAUCCCUUCUCUCCUUCCCCCAAACUGAGGAGUAAGAUGGGAAGCUCCAACACCGGCGGAAAAGACGAUUCAGGCGCUAACGCUGGUGGUAGCGACUCCUCUAAGGCGGUGUUCAAGACCCUAAGCCCGGCCUUUACACAAAAGGCGAGAAGAUCCUCACUUAUCACGGUCCUCGCAUCUACGAAGCCAAGGAUGAUGACACUUCGGCAUGGGGGUCAUGAAAUGCAAAGCUUAGGUAGCAACGCAUAAGGACGAUAACUCUUUAUUUGGCAAACGGUGGAGUUGGACUUAUUUUGCGAAGCACACGACGUUAUCGACUUAUACUAUAUUAGUUGUUUUAUUGUUACGUUGUAGUAGUUAAUUAGUUAUUUAUCUUGUCAUCUGCAAAUUAUUAGACAACAUUUUGUUAAGUUCUAAGAUUAUUAGACAAUUAUAUAUCACAUAUGUAAUAACUUAUGACAUACUCUAUAUGAGUUAUUUAUUUAUAAUA